rnacentral:pre_miRNA from 1 species
UUACAGAUCACUUGGGGAUCUUGUUCAAAUACAGACUCAGAUUCAGUAGGUCUGGGUAGGACCUGGGACUUUGCAUUUCUAACCAGCUCCCAGGAGACACAGAU